AUUGAACGCUGGCGGCAGGCCUAACACAUGCAAGUCGAACGGUAACAGGAAGAAGCUUGCUUCUUUGCUGACGAGUGGCGGACGGGUGAGUAAUGUCUGGGAAACUGCCUGAUGGAGGGGGAUAACUACUGGAAACGGUAGCUAAUACCGCAUAACGUCGCAAGACCAAAGAGGGGGACCUUCGGGCCUCUUGCCAUCGGAUGUGCCCAGAUGGGAUUAGCUAGUAGGUGGGGUAACGGCUCACCUAGGCGACGAUCCCUAGCUGGUCUGAGAGGAUGACCAGCCACACUGGAACUGAGACACGGUCCAGACUCCUACGGGAGGCAGCAGUGGGGAAUAUUGCACAAUGGGCGCAAGCCUGAUGCAGCCAUGCCGCGUGUAUGAAGAAGGCCUUCGGGUUGUAAAGUACUUUCAGCGGGGAGGAAGGGAGUAAAGUUAAUACCUUUGCUCAUUGACGUGACCCGCAGAAGAAACACCGGCUAACUCCGU
rnacentral:rRNA from 1 species